rnacentral:rRNA from 1 species
GAUGAACGCUGGCGGCGUGCCUAAUACAUGCAAGUCGAGCGAACGGACGAGAAGCUUGCUUCUCUGAUGUUAGCGGCGGAAGGGUGAGUAACACGUGGAUAACCUACCUAUAAGACUGGGAUAACUUCGGGAAACCGGAGCUAAUACCGGAUGAUAUUUUGAACCGCAUGGUUCAAAAGUGAAAGACGGUCUUGCUGUCACUUAUAGAUGGAUCCGCGCUGCAUUAGCUAGUUGGUAAGGUAACGGCUUACCAAGGCAACGAUGCAUAGCCGACCUGAGAGGGUGAUAGGCCACACUGGAACUGAGACACGGUCCAGACUCCUACGGGAAGCAGCAGUAGGGAAUCCUCCGCAAUGGACGAAAGCCUGACGGAACAACGCCGCGUGAGUGAUGAAGGUCUUCGGAUCGUAAAACUCUGUUAUUAGGGAAGAACAUAUGUGUAAGUAGCUGUGCACAUCUUGACGGUACCUAAUCAGAAAGCCACGGCUAACUCCGUG